rnacentral:rRNA from 1 species
UAUAUUUUUGGCGCAAAGUUUCUUAGACAGUUGGGAUGUUGGCUUAGAGGCAGCCAUCAUUUAAAGAGUGCGUAACAGCUCACCAAUCGAGAAACUUUGCGCCAAAAAUAUACGGGACUCGAAGCAUAAAACCGAAGUCACGGAUGUGUACUAUGUACACGUGGUAGGGGAGCGUUGUAUUUGCGCAGAAGGCGUACCGUAAGGAGCGCUGGAGCGGAUACAAGUGAAGAUGCAUGGCAUGAGUAAACGAUAAAAGAGGUGAAAAUCCUCUUCGCCGAAAACCUAAGGUUUCCAGGGUAAAGCUCGUCUUCCCUGGGUUAGCCGGUCCCUAAGCUGAGGCAGAAAUGCGUAGGUGAUGGAAAGCAGGUUAAAUAUUCCUGCGCUGUCUAAGGUUAUGACAAUGGAAUGACGGGGUAAGUGAAGUAUGCGAACUAAUGGAUGUUCGUGACACUAUGAGGCUGGCUUGCAGUAAAAUGCGUAAGCGAAAAGCUAGGUAGUGGACAAGGGGAAGAAAUGAACCGAUGAUAUGGAUCGAGCCUCCAAGAAAUAAUUUCUAGUCACCGAUGGCAACCGUACCAAAACCGACACAGGUGGGUGGGAAGAAGAUUCUCAGGCGCGCGAGAGAACUCUCGUUAAGGAACUCUGCAAAUUAUCCACGUAACUUCGGGAGAAGUGGAGCCAUUUUCGGUGAGUAUGAACAAUACAAAGCUGAGAGUGGCCGCAGUGAAAUGGCCCAGGCGACUGUUUAACAAAAACACAGCACUAUGCAAAGUCGUCUAAGACGCAGUAUAUGGUGUGAUGCCUGCCCAAUGCCCAAAGGUCAAAGGAAGAGGUUAGCUCGAAAGGGCGAAGCUUCGAACUAAAGCCCGGGUGAAUGGCGGCCGUAACUCUAACGGUCCUAAGGUAGCGAAAUUCCUUGUCGGGUAAGUUCCGACCUGCACGAAUGGCGUAACGAUGGCCACACUGUCUCCUCCAGAGACUCAGCGAAGUUGAAAUGUUUGUGAUGAUGCAAUCUCCCCGCGGAAAGACGGAAAGACCCCAUGAACCUUUACUGUAGCUUUACAUUGGACUUUGAACAGAUCUGUGUAGGAUAGGUGGGAGGCUUUGAAGUAAGGUCGCUAGAUCUUAUGGAGCCGACGUUGAAAUACCACCCUGGUGUGUUUGAGGUUCUAACCUUGGCCCGUGAUCCGGGUUGGGGACAGUGUAUGGUGGGCAGUUUGACUGGGGCGGUCUCCUCCCAAAGUGUAACGGAGGAGUUCGAAGGUACGCUAGGCACGGUCGGAAAUCGUGCUGAUAGUGCAUUGGCAUAAGCGUGCUUGACUGCGAGACUGACAAGUCGAGCAGAUGCGAAAGCAGGACAUAGUGAUCCGGUGGUUCUGUAUGGAAGGGCCAUCGCUCAACGGAUAAAAGGUACGCCGGGGAUAACAGGCUGAUCUCCCCCAAGAGCUCAUAUCGACGGGGGGGUUUGGCACCUCGAUGUCGGCUCGUCACAUCCUGGGGCUGGAGAAGGUCCCAAGGGUUGGGCUGUUCGCCCAUUAAAGCGGUACGCGAGCUGGGUUUAGAACGUCGUGAGACAGUUCGGUCCCUAUCUGCCAUGGGCGUUGGAGAUUUGAGAGGGGCUGCUCCUAGUACGAGAGGACCGGAGUGGACGAACCUCUGGUGUUCCGGUUGUCACGCCAGUGGCAUUGCCGGGUAGCUAUGUUCGGAAGCGAUAACCGCUGAAAGCAUCUAAGCGGGAAACUCGU